CUCAAUUUAUUUAUGCACUUAAAAAGCUGGACAUGUAGAUCACAAAACCUUAACAUACACAUUGCGCUAGGCACACAUCAUUAUAAUUACAGGAUCUGAACAUCAAUGACCUUGCGCUCCACAUGGGUCUUAGGAAUUGAAAUGUAAAGAACACCAUUCUUCAGCUCUGCAUCUCAAUUUAUUUAUACACUUACAAAGCUGGACAUGUAGAUCACAAAACCUCAACAUACACAUUUCGCUAGGCACUCAUUAUUAUAAUUACAGAAUCUGAACAUCAAUGACCUUGCGCUCCACCUUUGUCUUAGGAAUUGAAAUGUAAAGAACACCAUUCUUGAGCUCUGCCUUGACCUUAUCUUUCUCACAGUUAUCAGGAAGCUGGAGACGAGUAUCGUAAGAGCUAAAACUUGCACCUCCAGCUUCUUCUGCCCUGUGCUCUCCUUUAAUGACAAGGACUUCAUCUUCCACCGACACUUUGACAUCCUCCUUAGAGAGUCCAGGCAUGUCAAAUCUCAUUUUGAUCUCAUUUUCCUCCUCUUUGAUGUCCCACGGUGUUCUCACCUGGCCUCCCCCGCCAGCCCGGCUCCUCCCCGGAAAAGCCAUCGUAUCCUCUAAUAGACGGUCCAUUGUGUCCAGCAUCUGCCGCAUUGUCCUCGUUGGAAACGAGGGAUCCAUCAAACCUGCAACCCAAAGUCGUACAUUUUUUAGAAUUGGGUAAUUAAAUCGGUGUUCAAUUUACUUCCAAACCUUAUGAUUUAACAUAAUCAGUAUUUUAUUAACUAUAAAAUCAUGCAAAGGCAACUGCUCAAUACCCCUAGCAGCCGCAACGCAAACUAACAUAGUCUAACAGAGCAUGUAAAACUUGUAUUAUUUAAAUCACUGAAUCCUACAGGCAACGGACGAAGGCAAAGACAAAUUUAAUUCGCUGAACUUACCGAAAGGUGAAAUAUCGAGAGCCGUUCUUCGAGGCCUCCUCUCCACUUGGGUUCCUUGGUUACCGGAAUUAACAUGGACGUCAACCGAAGUAUCCUUGUUCUCCCCACCAGCCUGAGCUCUCACGGCUUGUAGCCGAUAGGCGCCUUUCCUUGACGUUGCCGGUAAGGUUACCGAGCAUGGCGCCACAUUUCUCCUAGCUAUUGAGGUCCUGGCCUCGCGCGAUACCAAGGGUGAUGAUGAUGAGAUAGAUAAUGUUGCAGCCAUUUAUUUUCACUUUGUUUUCUGAGCACUUGAGAGAAUCGACCGAUGGUUUCGUGGAGUGAGGAGUGGAGAUAUAUAUACACACACACACACAGAGGGAGAGAGAGGCAAUCAAUGAGAUGUGAACAAGUGUGAAAGAUUGGAGAGGCAUCAUGAAACUUGUAGAGUACGAAAAUUCUGGACUCAACGCCCAUCAUCCACCAUCCAAAUUAUACGUGAUUAUACUUUUGUGUCUUCUUCUUUCUACUGGUUUCUCAUCCAUUCGGGAAGCAUCGCGAAUGAAAAACUUUUUAUUUACAAUUGGACCCUUAUAUUUUAUUGUAUUUUACUUAAAAGGACCCGGAUCAUGCUUUCAAUUGUCCCAUACAUAGUACAAGUUGCACUGUUUUCAAUUUUUUACUAGUGAAUAGUGAAAAUUAAGCAACAUUCAUUGAGUACUAAUAACUUUUUUUUUUUUUAUAGUACAAGUUGCACUGUUUUUAAGCAACAUUCAUUGAGUACUAAUAACUAAGCAACAUUCAUUGAGUACUAAUAACUUUUUUUUUUUUUUAAAGUCCGGUAACAUACACCAAACUACCAAUGAAUUAAAAAUAUGGAAACGUUAAUAUUGGAAGACAUUCCGUUAACAGUCCCCCAGGACAGGGCCAAAUUAUUGGUGAAAAUAAAAAAAAUCUUUCCCCGUCGAGCUAAAAGUUCAGAGUAGAAACUAUGGAAUAGGCUUUCUAAUAGUUGACAAGGAAUUUGAUUGGACUUCAUAUGCACCGAGUAGGAAAUACAUUUAGACAAAAUGCGUUCAGUUACAAUUGUUACAAUUGUUACAACUUCCAGAACGCAUCUUGUUACAAUUGUUACAAUUAUUUUAAAUUCAGUUACAGACAUCCAACGGUUCUGGAGACUAUUCUACGUUGGAGCUGCUCCAACCGUAGCAACUGCCAUGCAAAAAUAAUGUUGCUCUUUACCUCUUUCAUUGGUGCUAUAUGAGGAUCGAUUAUAAACUUUGAAUUUCAAAUUUUGUAAGCUUACCAAAACUAUUGAAUAAAUCAUAAGACUGCGUAUGCGAAGUUGUAUUAGAUGGUAAAUACAUUUACAGUCCUUGUACAGUCGUAUGGUAACAAACUUUAAAUAGCUAUUUUUUGAGUUUACUAAUUGGCAUUUGGUCGGUAAAAUACCUACCCGUCCAUACAGAAACACCAAGAAACCAGAGUAUACAAAAUGCUAUAACUCAAGCCACAAUAUAAACUGAAGAUCUACACACGGCUGGAAUGAAAUUCCCAGCCAAAAAAGACAAGAAUGAAAACACUCGAAUGUGGAUCAAACGCGUCCAGGAAGUCUCUUAGAUAAAAUCAGAACCACCCGGGCGAAACUCCAGGUCUGGAUGAGUCCGAUCAGGCCCUCGUGGGUUUCUGCUAGUACAAGAAAGCAAAAAAUGUCAGAUUUCCACACUAUCUUAAUCUGAUCUCUGUUUGUGUUCAAACAAUAGUGUGCCAAAUUUAUUGAAAGAAUCCCUUAAUGAUCAAACUCAAAGGUCGGCACCAGUUGCUAGAAAAAGCUUCAGAAAAGGGGCAAUAGCAAGAAUAUUUUCAUAUUUAUUUGUAAGUGCAGAAAAGUCGCUAAAAUAUGUGUUCAGCAACUCUUCACGUGCCUAAUGCAAAAUGAAAUACAUGUCCCAAAUACCAACAUUUUUCUUUCUUUAUUUUCUCUUUUCUAAUUCAUUCAACUUGAACUCCCAAAAAAUGGACCAUCAUAUGCAAUUUUUCAUCAAGUACAAAUCCUGCAUAUGGAACAUGAAAAGUUUCAUAAUUUUAUCAAAUAGUGAUGGCAUAAAUUCUUCAAAUGAACCACAACAGACCAGAUAUCACCAUCAGUUCAGGCUGAAUCACUAGAUUGAGCUAACUAUUAAUCACCCUAGACCACAAAAUCAAUGAGCCAAAUGAAGGUUAUGUAGACAAAUACAACUUAUAACCGUAUGUUUACAUGAGGAAUGCUGAAUUUCACUCUUCCCUCAAUUUUCUUCUGUAAGUUACCAUGUUAUAAGACCAUGAGAAUCUUAAUUCACAUAUACCUGACAAAACGAUUAGGUUCAAAUCCAGGUAUGCCAGGCGGGCCGUAGGGAUCAAAACGAGCACCUGGAGGAACAGGCCUGCAUCACAAAUCCAAAAGAAUCAGAUCCCACACAGAUGCUAAUUUCAAAUAAGCCAAGACAUUUUCUUAAGAACUCACGGGUUCCCUCCAGGAAAACUAGGGUCUCCACCAAAAAAGCCAGGAUGAUCAGGUCCUGUGUCCACAUGAUAAAAGUCAGUAAGUCUGGAGAGGUGACAAACUUAUAUCAAACAACUUAGUAAAACAAGCCUUGUCUUACGGACCUAUUAGCAUGCUCCCAUCACCGCCAAAGCCACCCCUGAAAGGCAGUUAAAAUAGACAUAUACAUGUUACAAUUACAAAGAAUAGUAAUGACAAACAAUUAAUGAUUUCAGAUAGUGACACGCAGUUAAAAUAGACAUAUACAUGUUACAAGUAGAAUGAAAUAGCAAUGACAAACAAUCAAUAAUAUGGAUACUAACAUACCUUCUAGGAUACAUUCCAGCACCAGGGCCAGGAAAAAGAUCGCUACUACGACUUGGGUUGAUAGGAGGAACAGGAAUUCUACAAAGCAAAUUACCACACAAAGUUAGAGUCUCUGGGUUAUCAUAGCGAAAGGGGUGAUCAAAGGGAGGAAUUGCCAAUAAUUAUUCAAUUCAAGCCCAGAGAUUCCGGAAAUCUGGUAAGUUUGGCAUAUGAGCAUCCAAACUUGCUAUUUAAUCAACAGGCAAGCGCAGAACAUUAUAUUUUGUACUUCAAAAUAGCAUGGGAAAUUUACGACCAAGCACCAAAAGCCUCAUCCUUUGUUAGAACAGAAACAAAUGGUCACAGUAAACAGACCAUCACUACCCAAUUUCAAGAUAUGAAAGAUUAUUGGGUACUAAGACUCAAAGACAACAUUAUUCUGCUAGCCCAUCGUCAAUUACCAUAAAUAGUCACUCACAUUAACAACAGAGUUCAUAAUAAUUGAAGAAAUUUUUUAAUGCAUCAUAUAAUGAAUCUGUAGCAAUUGCAAUGUAUUAAUCCAAGUCCCAUGAAGAUACAGGGAAUAAAAUUAGUCAACGAUAGUAAGAUUAGCUUUUCAGCCAAGAAUGGGAUUAUCCCCGAAAGCCCCCUUCAGACUUACACCCCCACGCCCAACACCCCUUCCCCCNNNNNNNNNNNNNNNNNNNNNNNNNNNNNNNNNNNNNAAAAAAAAAAAAAAAGAAAAGAAAACACCCAAAAGAAAGAAAAAGACAAAAAGAAUAGCAAAGAUUAACCCUGUAACAUAAGAUUGAGGCCCUUCAUGCUCAAAUCCAAAAGCAGGAUCGGUUACAAUAGGCCUUGAUCCUUCACAUCUUUCCGAGCUGCAAAGCACCACAAAAUUCCGUGAAAAGCUUAUUUAAAAGAUGGCAUCCUUGUUGUGCAUCUCUAGGCAGAUCAAAAUAAAAAAAUAACAAUAAAAAUGAAAAUAAAUAAAACAUAUAACAGCUUCAAAUUUCAGCGAAAAGAAUAUAACUCUCAACACAAUACUCCACUUUGGAAAAUUAGGUGUACACUGAAUCAUUGACAAGAAAGCUACAUUUCAAUGCGAAAUAUAUAGCAAAGAAAUAAGAAGCAAUUUUUUAAUUCUCCAAAUCAUUCAGGAGUAGAAUUCAAAACUUGCUUCAUAUAUUCGUAUCAUAUUGGUAAUCGAACAAAAUCAAUACACGCUCAACUGUUCCUAUAAAAACAUAUAAAUUGAACCACAAUGUUGAUCUAGACCCUAGCUUCAGGAUCAACAACAACAACUCUUAUAAAUUUAGUCAUCCAACAUGGUUUACAUAUAUCAUUCACAAAACCAAUGAAAAACAUGAUAUCAUCAUCUUUUUUCUGAUUAUCCUGUAUGCCUAAAUUGCAAUUAGUUUUUUGUUCUCAAAUACAACUGACUCAUUAUAUCCAAACUUUAGGGAACUCACCUAGCUGUUUUUGGGGAGCCGUAUAAUUUUGAAAUAAUGUCUUUAUCAAGAUCUGUCACAAGCUUCUCUAAAUUCUUGAACUUAUCAGAGUAAUUGCCUCCAUUUUCUGCAACGUAGUCUGCAACACUGUUACAAAACACCACCACAGCAUUAACAAUAUAACAAAUAUACAAAAUUGCAAAACAAAGAGAGGAUCCAAAAUCCAAACGCGUACUUGAUUUCGAGAUGCACAGGCUCCGAAGCUCCCUCAGCUAAUGCAUCAGCCAGCAAUUUACUGUUCAUCACGAGACACUUCACCAACACUUUCUUUGAACCUUUCUCAGGGUUUAUAAACAGAAACGCGUAAUUAUCAUCAGCUAGUUCGUUCCAGUGAUCAAUUCCUACUUCAUCUACACAACCACAAAGACACAGCCGUUUAGUAAUUAAAAAAAUAAAAAAAUAAUGAGUAAAUAAAAUAAAAUAUUAUUUUGCUGAAGUAAUUCAUUUCAGUACCGGUGGAGGAGGAGGGAGAGGUGAACUCGGUGUCCGCGGCAGGGCCAGUGGCGGUUAACACGUGUCCACUGGCAAGGAAAGAGGCGUGAACGACAAAUGCAAUUUUAUCGAAGUCGUUUCUAAAGGUAGGUCUUGCCGCUCUUAUCACGGCCAUCACUGAUUUCUCGUUCGGCAUUUUUUUUUAAUCUUUUUCCUUUCUUUGUUUUUAGAGUUUAUGAGAGAGCGAGGUCUUGUUUCGAAUGUCUGCAAAUUUGAUGGUGUGUUUAGUCGAGGGUUAAGGAAUAAGAAUGAAAGAAUGAUAAUAAAAUUAAAUUAAAUUUUUAAAUGUAAUUUGGUGAUACAAAUAAAAUGUGUGGUUAAUAUAAUUUAAGAAUAAAAAAUAAGAAUUUUAUUUUUAUGGGCAUUGGGAAUAAGAGCGAAGGAAUGAGAAUAAAAUUUAUUUUUAGUUUUUUUUUUUUUUUUUUGAAUUAAAAUUAAUAAAAUUUAUUAAUAAUAAUAUUUAAAAUAACUGCUGUACGGCCANNNNNNNNNNNNNNNNNNNNNNNNNNNNNNNNNNNGCCAAGGCGGAUGUACGGUACAGCAGUUAAUUCAAAUUUUUAUUUUUAUUUUUAUUUAUUUUAUUAAAUAAACACAUUAAUAACAUUCUAAUACAUUUAUAUUCUCAUUUAUUUUACCAAAUAAAUAUUAAAAUCACAUUAUCAUUCUUUAUUUUUAUCUCAAUUUAUUCCCAGCCAUUAUCAUUUUACGUUAUUCCCAAAGUAAAGCACCACGAGUGAAAAUAGAUAGUUAACUCGCGUUUUCAGCUACUUCGUGUUUCGCUCUGGGCUGGCCCGGAAAGAGUAUCUUUUCUGAAGUUGACAAGCAUACUUAGCCUGCAAGCAAUUGAUUAUUUAAAUGCAAUUUAAUAAUAGGAAAAUGAUCCAUAUUCUACGCGUACAAACUAGAUAUUACCAAUUAGUACAAGAAGAUAUAUACGCAGAGAAAAGGACGUUGACAUCACCAUUCGAUGAAAUAGUCGAAGAAAUUUUUAUAUUUUUAAAAAUAAUUAUGCAUAUAUUUUUUUUUUACAUAUAAAAGUUUUUUGAUAAAAUUUGAGGGUGUACAUAAGUUUAUUGCGAUUAUUGUUUAAUAUUGAAAAAAAUUACGCGUCUAAAAUAUGAUUAUUUUAAAAUACAAGAAUGAGUAUGCAUAUCUUAAAAAAAAAUCGGUAUGACUAAUUCGAAAACUAAGAGGCUAUUUUAUGCCUGAUGUUGCUGAAAAGAAAUAUAAGAAUAGACAGAUUGUGCACAUAAAUUAAUCAACGUAGUUGGUUACAGCAAGGCACGUAAUAGCCACGUAUCCUUUGGACCCAUUGGGAGCAUAGUGAGAACACAUUCAUAUCAUUUGUAACAGUUGUAGUUUCCUUGUUGAGGGUAUCUGUGUCGGGAUCACAGGCUUGGAAAAUCUAGUAAAUUUUCCUAGAAAGUAUAGUACAUAUCAAACGGCUCUUUUUUUUUCAUUUCUUUUUUUCUUUUCCCACUUAUAUGACCGUUGGCUUCCUUUAACUAUCAUUGUGUCAUGUUUGAUAUGUCUGAGGCCGAGCAGCAAAGCCGGAACAAGAUGGUUUUGGUAAGUGACACAACGUCAACAACGACGACGAGUAAAUACAGCAAGAUCUUUGUUGGAGGAUUGGCUUGGGAGACUCGAACUGAAACCAUGAAGCAUUAUUUUGAGCAGUUUGGUGAUAUCCUUGAAGCCGUCGUCAUUACUGAUAGGGUUACUGGAAAAUCAAAAGGAUAUGGCUUUGUAAUUUUUAUUCCCCGUCUCAUCUCUUCUCUUUCUUUGCAGCCCUAUCCCUAGCUAGCUAGUUCAUUUUAUUAAGUUUGUUUGUUUAACCUCUUUUUUUUUUUAAAGGUAACUUUUAAGGAUCCGGAAUCGGCAAGGAGAGCUUGUGAGAAUCCUUAUCCAGUGAUUGAUGGAAGGCGAGCUAAUUGUAACCUCGCACACCUUGGUGCUCAUCACAAGAAACGCCCACCUCUUCUUCAUGGCAAUGUUACAGCAGCGGAACCAUCGACAGUUGAUUUUGGUCAACCACCGGUUCCUCAAUAUGCAUUUUCUUAUUCAACUUAUGGGUGAGUUAAUAUUACUGAGUCAAAAAUUUUAGAUAAAUGAUUGAAAAAUGCUACUAGGUCCCAACCGUGACGCAACGGUGACAUAAACAUAGGUGAAGCGUCCCUCUUUUGCCUUUAUUUCGUACUCUAUUUCAAACUUUCUUCCAGUGCAUUAUUCUUCUCAUCAAUUUACUGCCUGGCUACUAAUUUACGUUAUUGUUUAAUAUUAUAUGCAGAUAUCCUACUUUCUCCCAAAACAUUAAUCAUUCAAUGGUUAGUUAUGGUUCCUUUAAAUAACUUGAACAGCACCUCAUUACAAGUUUUGAUUAAAAUGAAAGUGGGUGUACUCUGCGCAGAAUUAUUACAAUGCUUAUUACGGUGGGCUAGGGCAAGGACAACAACAGUUUUCGUCAUAUUAUCAUCCCAACAGGUUCAGGUUCCCCGGAGCUGGAGCCUAUACAAAUUACCAUCCAUUUCCAUUGUAUUUGUAUACUCAGGCUCCGGUUCCGGCUCCGGCUCAGGCUGAGCAGCAACAGAGUAGCCCAAAUCAGCACCCCAAAAUGGUUCAUUUCCCUUAUUUUCCCCAGCAUUUCCCAUCAUCGCUCCCUGUUACUGGUAAAUUAUACAUCUUAUUACAUUUUCAUAUCUAUGAACUACUUCGAUCCCAUCUUACGUGCUACAAUUUACAAAUUUUCAAAAUAAAACUUGAAAAGUUCAACAGAAUUAAAGUAUAUUGCAAUUUGCCACAGAAAAUGUAGCAGCAGGGGCAAUGCAGCCAGGGACUAGGACUGGGACUGGGACUACCUCUCUACGAGACAACACCAAGGGUUAACGAGAGUAGUCUUUCCAUAUUCAUUAUACAAAAAAUUUUUAUGUUGAAUGACCAGAUAUAGAAACUAUCUCUUUCAAGUCAUGAAGCUUCUGCUGAUCAAAAUUCACAUUUCACAUUCUAAAGAGAGGAGAAUUGAAAACUUUUUUUUUUUUAACACAGGCUUUUCUUAACUAAACUUAAAAAAGAAUUUUUUUUUUUUUUUUAAGGAAGAGUAGUGCAAGACAUAUCAAAAUUUUGGGAUUGUUCAUUAUUUUAACCAAAUUUUAUUAUAUUCUUACAAUAAAGAUGCAAGAGUGGAGAGUCAACCACCAAGUAAGAUGCAUGCAAACCAUAACAAGAAACUAGCAGACACAGAUAAGAAUAAAGAGCGUAAAUAUCGUGAAGAAGAAAAACAUUGCAGAAUAUUUCAAAGUCUUCAGUUGUUAGAUAUUUCUAACAUAUCAGUUUCAGGGACCACCCCAACAGAAUUCAAAAUGAUGUGAAACAUAGAUUUAAUGCAUUCAUAUCCUCAAAAUCCCAUAACUACCAAACUCUAUAAGGCAUCAACUCGAGAGAUAUGUCAUAAAUAACCCCUUAGAGGUGACAGAGAUACCGGGCCGAGACACAUAAGACUAAAGAUAAACAUAGUCACCACAAGUACCUCGAAAGAUAUUUUCUGUAUCUAUGUAUAUAUGCAUGUAAAGAUAGUAUUGGCAGUUGAUCAAUCCACAGAACAUUCAAGAGCAUCACUCAAUGCAAGGGCGGGCGGGGAGCCCGUGGACGAACUGGAGUCUUGGAGGGGCUAACCCUGCAUAUAGAAAACAUUGAGAAAUUUCAGAAUAGAAACUGAAUGGAAAUUUAUAUCAUUUAUAACUGAACAGUCCGCCAAAACAACCUUAUAGGCAGUGAUCCCAAGACAGCACCACUACAGUUAAGAGCCGCAAUCGCACUCUCAGCCUGCGAGAGCAAAAUUACAGCAUUAAACUUAGUAGCAUAAAUAAAAAACUAAGAGAUCUUUUCAUGAUAUAAAUUUCCAUAUAACAAAAAGAAUAAGAUCUCCAUAUAACAAAAAAACCUCAAUAAAAUAAUAAACAAAAAGAAUUCUAGCCGAUUACCAUCCCUCAAGUUUAGGUCAUUUUUCUAUUGCCAAACUUUAUAAGGCCUACAAAGGCAGGAACCUAUUCCACAAAGGCAUGCAUCACGUAUCCAAUCACUGAGGGAAAGCGGGAAAACGAGGAAUGUUCUUCUCUUAAGUGGUCCAAGAACUCUUAAGAACCAUACUAACAAUAUGUAUACGCCAUAAUACAAAAUGAUGAGGGAAAACAAAGAAGGAAUUGCUAGGAAGAUAAAGAUCAAACAAGAAGAAUAAAACGAAAGGGGAAAGGAGAAGGGAGAGUAGAGAAUUUCCCAACAAAACAUAUCAAACAACAAUUAAUUAGGCAUUCUUAAUUGGCACAUCCAAAUUCCAAACACAUGUAGUGCAGUAACAGCAAUGUUGUAGCACUCUUCCAGAGAGCCACCACAACAAUAUCUAAAAUUCGCUCUUCAGGCCAGUGGUGCUGAUACCCCUUUUCUUUAUUAGGAUAGGAACGCACUCAAAAUUUCCAUAUUUGCAACCUUUCAUGCAUGUCUCAUUACAAAACUAGUGACAGACCCAACUUUCGCUACAGAUUACCAGAGCAUGAAUUAAUAAAGACAGAAUACAAAAUGCACAACUGCCAGGAACAGACAUUAGAAUACAAAUUAUGUAUCUUAUACAUGCUGGGACUGAAGUUAUGGGUCUAAACUUUUAAAAUCUACAAACUAAAAGGGUCAACAAGCAAACAAAUACAUCUUUCUCAAAGAAGAAGAAGAAAAGCAAACAAGUACAUUCACAACCAUUAUCAUCUCUAGAUGGUCCUACAGGGAAACACUAUAUAAUCAACAAUUAUAUACAAGACAGACCCCCAAAAAUAAAAAUAAAAAGAAGAAGAAAAAGAAAUAGAAUAAGCGCAUAAGCAAAAGAGAGAGAAACCAUACAAGGUGAGUCAUUGAAAUUUUAUAUUCAUAAUACUGUAAAGAAUGGUGAGUUAUGCUAUAGCUCAGUUGUGAAAGGAUAGAAAGACAGUACAAAGAAUCGAAGAUGACAAGAAUAGGAGGCAUAUACAUAAAUGGCCUGCCUAAGCAUAGGUAGGGAACACCAAUCACACAGUAUACUGCCAACCACAAUACCAAAUUGAACCUAAACCUUGCAAAAGAAUCUGAUUAUAAGGAGUUAGAUAUCUGAAGAGCUGUGAACCCCAAAUAGCAAAUGUACAACGUACCACAUCCUAACACUAACCCAUAUCCUCAGUUGAAAGCAGAUCCAACAAAAUAGCUAGCCAACAAUAAACACCAAACUACUUGGUCUCCAACCACUGAGAUGUCUUGAGUUUUCCAUGCCCAAGAAUUUGUUAUAAGACACUUGCAACACCUGAAAAGCUGUGCUUCCUCUUCAACCUUUUCAGAAGAUGAAGGUUGUUGAACUAUCGUUGGGACAGUAGUGCCAAACAUGAAAAUCAGGAUAAUGAGUGAGAUUCCCAGCUAUGAUUGCUCUAACCUUGGAAGCUCUAUGCCUUAUAGCCUUAGGGUUCCUAUAUUCAAUUUCUUCCCAGCCCUUGCCUAGCUCUGAAUUGGCAUCUGCAACUGAUAACCACAGCCUAUCCCCAGUAAACUUCAGCUUAUGUAGAUUUGCACAUAAAAGGCAUAAUGGACACCAUUUCAAAAGAAUAAAAAUGAGAGCCCAAUGGUCCUCAUUCCAAAAGAGUCCUCACCUCAACAAUUGAAAGCACGUCAUUUCUAUUUUCAGCAUACCCAAGCCUUGAAACAAUGUUUGAGAAGAUUUUAUGCCUUUGCAUGGUUUAAAUAAGAUUUGACUUCAUUUAGAGAAAGAAACCAUCCUCCCUCACACAUCCCAGCCCACCCCUCCUUUCUAACUCUCUCAACUCAGGUAAUCACUCAAGAAUUUGCCAUUUUAGCAGUGGAAAAAUUUUCUCCUACAAUUCCCAUUUCCCAAAUCUCUUAGAUAAAUGGCCAGUGACACAUGUUGCUAACUAUGAUAAGAAAUGAUUAGGAACACAUAUGGACAUGAGAGCAUGCUUGGAGUCCUAUAUAAAGGAGAAAAGAAUUGCUGAUAUGAACAAAAACUUCCAGUUCCCAUGCCUUCUAGUGUUACCAGCACCACACAAAUAUAGAACUAGCUUUCUUAUUUCUACACAAACAUAAUUACUAAAUUUAUCACAAAAUGGCAUAUUUAAAUGACAAAACUCUCCUUUUCAAAAAGACAAAACUCUAUUUUCCAUAAUUCAUGCAAAGAUCGUCUCAUUAUGACAAAUAGUCCGAUGUUCAGCUGCCAUUAUUAGGUGUUGCUUAAAAAUACAAAUUCUAAAUGAUCCAAUUCAUAAACAGUAAAAAUAAACCAACAACAAAAUUAAAGAAAGAAACAGGACUUAGAAAGAUAAAUUUACAAAACCGAGAUGGAAGCUAUCUUUUCUCCAAUGCCUUAUAAUCUUGUCACUAAUUGCACUUUCAUGAAUUUUUCCAAAACUUUUAAAAGUAAUGUAGAAUGAGAAAACUCUACUAAAACAAGAUCUAACAUUCUCAUUGUUGACAGUAAGAAGUCCAUCUCAGUACAAGAAAUUAAAGAAUUCUCAAAGUAGUUUAGUGAGCUAAGGGGUUAAACAAAGAUAAAAAAUACCACUAAUUGUGCAUCAAGAGAACAAAAUAUAUACAUCCAGUGCAAAGGAUUCUAACCCAAAAAAGAGGCUUUUCAGUCAAAUUUGAACUACAUUCUAUGUAAACUCUAAAUAUAAUUGCUUCUGCAAUUAAUAGCAAGGACCAAGUGUUUUUGUUCAUAUAACAGGUUAUAAAAAACAAGCAUGCCAUGAAAACGGCUCGCUUACCAUCGCAAACUCAACAAAAGCAAUACGAGUUGAAUGCUGAUAGUCUCCAAGCAGCCUCAAACGUUGAACCUGCACAAAUAAAAUGUGUCCAUAAGAAACCAUGAAUAAUUGAAGGACAAAAUCACUUCAUUAGGUUGGUCAUUUAAGCAACUACAAACCUCCCCACAAACUGAUUCAAAGAAGAGUUUGAUAUCUCCUUGAGUAACCUACAUCAAUUGGACAAACAAGUCAAAAACAAAUGUAACCGGUAUUGCUCCAAAUCACAUACUACAAUAAAUGGCAAAAUAGAAAGUACCUUUUUGUCAAUAUUUGUACAAUAAAUAGUUCUUGAGCACAUCUCACGUUCAUCUUCAGACUGAUAACAUUAGAAAGCCAAUCAAUGCACCAAAAUUAAGAUCCAUGCAGCUUGAAUGUAGGGUUUUUCAAAGAAAAUGAAAUUAAACAAAACUUUAAACAUGAUACAGAACCAGAUGAUAAGCACAGAGAGAGACAAAAAAAGAAAAGACGGAGCGAGUGAGGGCAGAGAAAGAAACAGAGGGAUAAAGGAAAGGAAGAAAGGAAAAAAGAGAGAACAACAACAUGGUUUUUGGUUAACAAAAACAUACCUCCAGACGCCAAAUCUUCUUCAUGAGGUAAAUGCGAAAUUUCUACUAAAAAUAUUCAAAACAAACUUACAAAAGUUUGCAUAACACACCUAACAUGACUAAAUUUUCGAAAAAAACAAAACGGCAAAGUCAUUUGAUAUAAAAAUUUCACAUCUAACUGUCAUCUUGAAAAUUUUGAAAAUGAAGGGGCUUAAUUGCAUAAAAAUUUUGAGGAUAGUUGUUAACUAUAGUGAGGCAGGUGGUUAUAACAGAUGUCUCACCCUUGGUAAAAAGGUUGGAUUAACAGGAGCAAUUGCAGUUUUUGAAGGCAGCACUCUAACGGGAUAGAACCCAAGCAUAGUCCCAGCCAAACUCAGAGCAGCCCUUGCACCUUCUGCAAGCACAUUUUCUUUGAAAUUCAGAACAAGAACAAAUGUCUAUUAAUGAAUAUACUAUGCAUAAGCUUUUAACAAUACCUUCAUCAGUGAACUCAACGAAGGCAAAACGGAGGACGGAGUUAGGAUCACCACAGAUGCGGCAAUCAACAACCUUAGGACAGGUAAUAAUUUCAGAGCAUAAGCCACUACUAUCAAACUAUAAAGGGAAUAUGAGAGCAAAAUAAAACACAGAAUACCUGUCCACAAGUGAGAAAGAGCGUUGCAAGCUGCUCUUCAGUAACCUGACAUACAGAAAAAAUAGGGAAACAAUAGUAAACAUCAGUGCACAAUAAAAACAAACCAAAGCAUAAAAGCAAUAACUUUGCAGAAAGUUCCAGCUCUUUACCUGCUGAUCAAUGUCAGAUACAUACACAGUCCUCCUGAUUACCUCGUCUUGCUGUGCAUUACUUGUUCUACAAUUCAUCCUUCGUUUCCCUUGACUAUAACCAUUCCUCUUCUGAAAAGCAUUAUUAAAAAGACAAAGUACCGUAAUCAAAGAAAGAAAAUACCAAACUAAGAGCCAUACAAGAGGCUUAAAACAACUCAAGAUCAAAAGUAAAGGGCACACAUACCCUUCUAGUAGUAGUAUGUCCAUUGGUAUUUGCAGUGCCAUCAGUGUGCAUUAUAAAAUUAUUAGUGUACCCAAAUCCAUUAGGGCCGAAAAAGGCAGGAUUAAAAUUAAAAAUUUGACCAUUUGCAAGAGAAGGAGGCACAAAUUCAGCAGCCAUGGGAUUCAACUUGGACAGCAUAUCCACCAAAUCCCUCAUCUCGCAAUCCUUGAAACUUUCACCCAUUUUCCUUUCCAUAUGAUUAUCACUUGCAUUCACAUUCACAAACCCACCUCCAGCUCCAGCUCCAGGUUUUGUCUGCCCAUUUUGUAUCUGUAUAUUGGCAUUGCCAUUCCCACUUCUCUCCUUUGAGUGAUCGUUGGAAUUUUGUACAUCAUUUGAGUCAGAUGACACCACAGUGUCAUCCAAAUUUUGAUUCGAUGAAUCGAUCUUAGCACCAGCAUUCUCAGCGACCGCCAUGAUGAUCAGUUUCUGAGUUUUUUUUCCCCCCCCAAAAUGGGUCUCUUUUUUUUUCUGAGAUAUCUCUGUGAAAAUCUGCUCUUUUAUUAGUCAAUGAUCUAAGAUAAAUGCUUUAAAUUUAAAUAUUAAAAAAAACAAAUUUUGAGAAAAACCCAGAAUCUUGUUGAACAGCAGUGGGAGAAAGAGAGAGAGACAGAGCUCUUACCUUAUUCUCUCUUAUCUAAAAACUUUCCAUAAAUGUGAUGAUGUAAAUAUUAAGAAGCAAAGCAAAAACCAAACCAAACCAACCACCAAAACCCACCCAAAAUGAAAAGAAAAGAUAAAACUGAUGAUCACUUCCCAAAAUGAAAUUGGGUGAAACAGAAUACAAACUUUUUUGCUCUUUUAGUUUUUUUUGUAAAUUGAUAAAAAGAGGGUUUAAGAGCGACAGAUAAAGGGGUGUUUGUUUGUUUUUUAAUGCGUUGCAAAAUGCUAUCUGUGUCCCUUUUAUGUUGAUUUUCUUUGGAUCGUCCGUUAGCGGGUGUGUGCCAUCAUCAGGCAUUUGAUUCUCUCUCAUACAUCUACAUGCAUACAUGCAUACAUGCAUACAUACAUACAUUCGUAUGUCAUACAUACAUGCCCGGCAUAUCAAUUACGAGAAUAAUGUAAAUCCAAGAUUUAUCCAUAUCUUAUCUUUCCUUUUUCUAUCUAACCAAAAUUUUUUGUAUCUUUAUACGUGCUACCGAACAAAGAAUUAAAGAUAUCCAAUUAUUGAACAUAAUAAUUCAACAAACAUUAAAUUUAAAACUAAUCGCCAUGGCCGUUCAUAAACAAGCUCCAAGGAAUUCUUUUUUUUUUUUCGCACUAUACUGAAUCAUGUAUUUUGUUACCUUCAACUUUAUAACAAUAAUCGUAUUAACAUAUUAAGAUAUUUGAAUGUUUUUAUACCAUGCGGUUGCUUUAGUUCCAUAUUGAUGAAUUUUAUUAAAUUUGAUCAAUUCCAAUGAAAUAUUUUUUAAUUUAAACCUUUUUAUUUGGUACAAUUGAAGCUUACAUUGAAAAUCAUAUCAAAACCAAAUCUUAGUUAAUAAUAAUUAGUUUGUAAAAUUUUAUUGUUAGUAAGAAUGUUUCCUCAUAAGAUCAAUUUGUCUAAUUCUAAAAAUGAUACAAGAGCUAUGUGUUGAAACUCUGUUACGAAUUUAGCAAGUAAGCGAGGAUUUGAAGAUAGUUAAUUCACGAAAAAACAGUCAAUUCAUGAGAGAAGUAAUCCGAAAUUAAUUUUUCUAAAUUAACAAACUGAAGCCAUUAAAAUAAACAGUUGCACAUAUACUUAAAUGUGGAUUUAUUCUAGGGUGAUAAGGGAGUUAAUAUUAUUUCAUUAAAAAAUAAAACAAUCAGUGUUUAAACAUAAAUGUAUACUACAUCUCGAGAUUUAUACGAUAACUAGGAAAUAGAACCGCACUUCGUGCGGCUUUAAAAAAAAUUAGUAUUAUUUUUUUAUUACUUUGUAAUUGAUGAAAUUAAUAAAAAAUAUGAAUUAUUUUUUUUAAAGAUAACGCAGUCUUAUAAAACUAAUGUUAUUUAUGAAAGUUAAUUAUUUUUUGUUAACAUUAAAAAUAUAUAUUAAUGUGUAUAGUUAAGUGUACACAACCUUUUCAUCAAUAAAAAUUACGUUCAUACUAAUCAACUCCCUAUUUUUCUUGGUAUUAACAGACUCUCACAUCUUACAAAGCCUAACAUUUAUCAUCCAACUAUCUUUAUCAUUGUUUAACUCAUAAAGAAAAUAAUACUCCAUGAAGCACACAAUACUAAAAAUUUAAAUAAGUCAAAAAAUAAAAAACACAAGAACAUUUCUAAAGAGGAUGUUGGUUAAAUAAUAAAAAAAAAACUCAAACAUAACAAAUCUUAAAUGCUUAAUAUUUAUAGAGCUUGAAGAAGGCAAAAGAUACUAAAUAAAAGGUUGCAUAAUUAAAUAUGGGAUUAUGACAUUAAAAUUAGGUCAUAGGGUAUUGGUGAGGGAAGAUGAAGGAACAUUCCUUCCUAUAUUAAUUAGUUGAUGUAUUUUAAACCACUAAAGUUUAGUUGUUGGCUUAAUAAAAUAAAUGAAUGUUUCAAAACUUAUAAUUAAUUUAUUAUUAAUGGUUACAUAUUGUUGAAUUUAAAUAGAAAGAGGAAGAGACAUGUAAUCUUUUGUAAUCUAUUAAUUAUUUUAUAUUUUUAAUAUUUUGUAAUGUAAUUAUUUUUUAAUCUCAACCAAUAUAUUAGAUAAUAGAAAAUAUAAAAAGAUGAGAAAUAAUAAUGCCACAAAUAUUAACUACUUAAUGUUUAUAGAGUUUGAAGAAGUCAAAAGGUACUAAACAAAAGGUUGCAUAAUUAAAUAUGAGAUUAUAACAUUAAAAUUAAACCCUAAUGGCAUUGUUGAGGGAAGAUGAAGGAACAUUCCUUCCUAUAUUAAUUAGUUAAUGUAUUUUAAACCACUAAAGUUUAGUUGUUGGCUUAAUAAAAUAAAUGAAUGUUUCAAAACUUAUAAUUAAUUUAUUAUUAAUGGUUAUAUAUUGUUGAAUUUAAAUAGAAAGAGGAAGAGACAUGUAAUCUUUUGUAAUCUAUUAAUUAUUUUAUAUUUUUAAUAUUUUGUAAUGUAAUUAUUUUUUAAACUCAACCAAUAUAUUAGAUAUUUUCCUAUGUUAAUUAAUUCAUAUAUUUUAAGCCACUAAAGUUUAAUUGCUAGCAUAAUAAAAUAAAUAAAUGUUUCAAAAGACUUAUAAUUAAUUAUUAUUAAUGAUUACAUAUUGUUGAAUUUAAAUAGAAAGAGAAAAAAAAAGUACAAAGAAUAUCCACCAAUAUUUUAGAUAUUUUAUAUAAUAAAAAAUGUAAAAAGAUGAGGAAUGAUAUAUAUUAAUAAAGUUACUAUUUAUUAAAUGAGUUAAAUACAAUCAAAUUAAUUAUGAGAAGAUGAAAAGACAAAUCUAAAAAAAAAAUCUCUAUUUAUUAGAUAAUAGAGAAUAUACAAAGAAGCAAAAUGGUGAUGCCACAUCACCUCCUCAAGUCCUAACUUUAUAUAUAUAUAUAGAUAGAUGGUUUUUCAAACAAGUAAUUUUUUUUUUUUUCAAAAACACUAAAACAAACAAAGAUGUGGAGAAAGUUAAAAGGAAAUAAAAUAUUAUAAAUAUUAGAUGUACAAUGUUACUUUUGCACAGCGUUACUUUUGUUAUUUAUGGGGUGGAUUUAAAAAAUAUAUUCAUUUUAAUCUUUUUUAUGGGUGGAUUUUGUUAAUCAUACGGUGGUGGCUUUACCCAAAAAAAAAUAAAAAUGAGGGGGAAUAUAACCAUCAUUUGGUUAACAUAUGUCUAAGGCUUUGUUUGUUUAAGUUUUUUGGCAACUCACCUGGCAAACUUGCAAAUAUAAUUUGACAACACAACUAAAUAUUUUUCCCAGUUAUCUACAAAGGGUCGGUUUGGUAAUGUUUUAGGUUUUAAAAUAAUUGAUGUUAUCUAUACUAUAAAAAUAAUCAGCUGUAAAAAAAAAUUAGAUAAACAUUUGGUAAAAUUUAUUUUUAAAAGCAUUAUAAAUUUUAAAAAUAAUUGUAUGUGUUUAAUAAAUCUUACUAUAGAGUUGUUGUAAAAAUAUAAAUGAUGGUAUUGGACAUAACGUUCAAUAAAAUUUAUUUACAUAUUUAUAAACAUAUCAUUUUUUAGUCUUGUCUUGGAGACAAGUUUGUCUGUCUUGUCUGUAAUGACAAGUUUUCUUUCGUGAAGUUCCUUGAUUAAAGCUUUCUAGUCAGAAUUUUUGUGACUUUUCAGGUUAGUCAAGUGCAAUGUCAGGAAGAGAGCAGGAGUUUGAAAUCAACAUUGGUUACGCACAUAUCAAUUUGGAGGAAGAGGAGGAAGGAGGUCUGAUUGUAGAAGGAAAUGAUGUUAAUGAGAGUGGUCUAGGGACUAUUGAUUCUCGGUUUUGUUUGGUGGGCAGAUUCCUUACAGAUAAAGUAAUUAACUUCCCUGCCAUGAAGAAUACUAUGGCUUCCUUAUGGCGUCCAGGGAAGGGAGAGUGUAUCAAGGAUUUAUCUUCCAUGUUUUUCCUAUUCCAAUUCUUUCAUGAAGUUGACUUGAAAAGGGUUCUUGAAUCGGGACCAUAGAAGUUUGACCAACAUAUUUUAAUCCUUAAAAGGCUGAAGGAAAAUGAACAACCCCAGAAUGUCCUGUUGUGCUUUACUUCAUUUUGGAUCUAGGUUUACAACCUACCAAUCGGUUUUAUGUCUGAAAAAAUUCUGAAAGAUAUUGGCAACUAUAUAGGCACUUUUUUGGAGUCCGAUGCAUAUAAUCUAAUGGGGGUUUGGAGAAACUACAUGCGCAUACGAGUGUCUAUAGAUGUUAGGAAACCUUUUAAACGAAGGAUGAAAAUGAAAAAAGUGGGCGGAGACUGGAUUUGGGUUGAUUUUAAAUAUGAACGUCUAAAUAUUUUUUGCUUUAUUUGUAGAUUACUUGGCCAUACUGAAAAGCAGUGUCCCAAAUUGUAUGAUUGCCCUCCUGGUGAAAUUGUAAAAUGCUAUGGUCACUGGGCUGAAAGCACUAAAUAAAAAGAAUGCAAUGAAUUCCGGUGAACGGUGGUUGCGGUCAGUACCGCUGGGGGAAGAUGACAAGGAAAAAGGAAGGAGCGUGGAUGUCAUAGUUACCAUGGUAAUUGAUCCGGUUUUGGCCACGAAUCAAGGAGAUGUUAUACGUAAGACUAUUGAUGGGAACGAGGAUGUGGGGAUUAUGGUAGCUAGUAAGGAAGGUGAUAUUUUGUUGCCAACUAGGACUCCACCAAGUGUGAAAGGAAAGCAAGUUAAGGGGACAACUAAUGUGAUUGAUUUCAACGAAGAUUCUGGGGAUGAAAUGGAUGAGGGGCUAAUUGUUAAUGAUGCUAAAAGGAGAAGGUAGCUAGUUAGGUCAUGCAGCAAAGUGGGAUUUGAAGGAGAGGUUACUUCCUAAUCGAUGCUUUUGGAAUCAAUUUUCAAAGACGGACCAGCGAUGGGCCCUGUCGUUCAGGCCCACCGAGACCAAUGAGUGUUUUAAGCUGGAACUGCCGUGGGCUUAGCCAACCACGGACAAUCAAAUGUUGGAGGAGUUGGCCAAACGUAAGAAACCAAUUUUUAUUUUUCUUAUUGAAACAUUGUGUAAUCGAAGGAAGUUGGAAGGUUUAAAAACAAAACUGGGCUAUGAAGGUUUAUUCACAGUUGACCUAGUGGGCCGGAGUAGAGGUCUUGCUCUCUUUUGGAAAGCAAACAGCAACAUUAGAUUAUUAAAAUUUUCUAAGAACUGUAUUGAUGUGGAGGUUGAGUAUCAGGACAUGGGCAAGUGGAAGAUAACGGGCUUCUAUGGGUUCCCGGAGUCUAGCCACCGUCAAGAGUCUUGGGAUCUUCUACGCACUUUAGCUACUGUGUCUUCCCUUCCCUGGGUAUGCAUCAGGGACUUUAAUGAUCUUUUAGCUGCUCAUGAGAAGCGAGGGAAGAAUGAGCACCCAAAUUGGAAGUUGCAGGGGUUUAAACAAGCUGUGGUUGAUAGUGGCCUCAGUGAUAUUGGCAUGGAGGGUUAUCAAUUUACUUGGGAACGGUCUAGGGGUACAGAGAAUUGGGUGGAGGAAAGAUUGGACAGAGUUCUUGCUAUUGAUCCUUGGAUUCGUCGAUUCAAAGAAGCACGGGUUUGGAGUCUUCAAUCUUCUACCUCAGAUCAUCUACCCAUUUUUAUGGACCCAAAUCCCUUAAAUCAUUCUCAUAGGCAUUGAAGAUUUUGAUUUGAAAACAUAUGGCUUAGAAAAGGCUGAUUGUACAGAUGUGAUUCAGGCUAGUUGGUCCUCCUCUCAUGGGAUUGCAAUUCAACAAAAGCUUCUAAAUUGUGGGAUUGCGUUGCUUAAUUGGGGAGGUCACUUAGCUGGUGACUUUCGCAAUCGUAUUUUUGACUAUAAAAGGAAAAUGUCUCUUUUGCGGGGGCAUCGUGAUUCAGCUGGUAUUGUGGAGUUUACUGAGGGUAGGAAGGGGUUUAAUGAGCUUCUCCAUAGUCAGGAGGUUUUCUGGAAGCAGAGAUCAAGGUUACUUUGGCUCAAAGAAGGGGAUAUGAAUUCUCACUUCUUCCGUACUAUGCCUUCAACAAAAAAAUGUAGGAAUUCUAUUUCAACUCUUCGAAAUGCUCAAGGUCAGUCGUGUACCACCUCGGCUGAAAUUGAUGCUCUGAUUUAUGAUUAUUUCUCUAAGCUAUUUACUGUUGAUGGUUGCCAAAAUGAUGAAGUUUUAAACUGUGUAAAGACAAAGAUUACUGAUGAGCAAAAUGAGUUGCUGUUAGAGCCUUUUUCAACAGGCGAUGUCAAAGCGGCCCUCUUCGAAAUGCAUCCAGACAAAUCAUCAGGACCUGAUGGUAUGAAUCCUGCCUUUUACCAACGAUUUUAGCUUACUGUUGGUGAGGAUGUGACUGCAGCUUGUUUGCAUUUUAUUAAUACUUGCUCAUUUCCGAUGGGUUUAAAUGACACCUCUAUUGUAUUAAUCCCCAAGAAACCAAAACCGGAGAUGCUGUCAGAUAUGAGGCCUAUUGCUUUAUGUAAUGUUCUGUAUAAGAUUGUAGCUAAAAUGCUCGCAAAUAGAAUGAAGUCAGUCAUGGGUUCUGUGGUUUCUGAAUUUCAAAGUGCGUUUGUGCCGGGUCGGGCCAUCACAGAUAAUAUCCUUAUCUCCUCUGAAAUUAUGCAUUUUUUUGAAGAGAAAGCGACAAGGAAAAUUUGGAGUUGCUACUCUUAAAAUUGAUAUGUCGAAGGCCUAUGACCGAAUUGAAUGGGAAUUUUUGGAAGCUAUGAUGCUUAGGCUGGGGUUUAAUGCUAAAUGGGUGAAGUUGAUUAUGCUAUGUGUCUCUAUAGUUCGUUAUCAUGUUUCUCGCGAUGGGAAGGAGAUUGGACUUAUCAUUCCAGGUAGAGGGCUUCGCCAAGAGGAUCCUUUAUCGCCGUAUUUAUUCAUUCUUUGUGCGGAAGGUCUCAAUACGUUAAUCCGUAAACAUGAGUUGGCUGGCUUGAUUCAUGGGGUAAAAGUUGCUCAAGGGGCUCCUGUUGUAUCUCAUCUAUUUUUUGCAGAUGAUUGUUUUAUGUUUUUCAAAGCCAACCAAAGUGAAGCUCGCUUAAUUAAGCACAUUCUUACGACUUAUGGUCAAGGGUCAGGACAAUUGGUGAACUUUAACAAAUCUUUCAUUUCUUUCAGUUUGAAUGUUAACGAAGAUGUGAAGGGGCUUAUAUGUGAUACUUUGGAGGUUACUGCUACUACUAACCAUGGCACUUAUCUUGGAUUACCCUCUCUUGUUGGUAGGAACAAAAAAGAAGUUUUUCGAUCUAUCUAUGACAGAGUAUGGCAAAAGCUUCACAGCUGGAGUAUGAGGAUGCUGUCAAGAGCUGGGAAAGAAAUCCUGUUAAAAACAAUGGCUCAAGCUAUCCCGAAUUAUGCCAUGCAAGUUUACCUUCUGCCUCUUGAUCUUUCUAGAGAGCUCGAAACUACGAUGAACUCAGUUUGAUGGAGAAACAGCUGCAAUGGUGGAGGUGGCAUUCGCUAGAUGAAGUGGAAGUUUUUUUGCGAACCAAAGACACAUGGAGGAAUUGGCUUAAAAAAUCUACAUGACUUCAAUGUGGCCAUGUUGGGGAAGCAAGUUUGGAAACUUUUAUCGAAUCUGAAGUCUCUUGUUGGCCAAAUUUUCAAAGCUCGUUACUUCCCUCAUACAUCUAUUACAGAGGUUGAUUUGGGUUAUAAUCCAAGCUUUGUGUGGAGGUCUCUAAUGGCAGCUAAGCAUAUUGUUGUUCGUGGUAGCAGGAUUCAGAUUGGUAGUGGUCAGAAUUGUAUUAUUGGGUCAGCUCCUUGGCUUCCAGACGCAGAUAACGGCUUUCUUUCCACCAGCUUACCUGAGUAGAAAACAACAGUACCAGUUAGUAGUUUAAUGGCUCCUGAACAACGUCAAUGGGAUUAUGAUGUAGUGGCAGAUUUAUUUAACGCUCGAGACAGGAAUCUUAUUUUACAAAUUCCCCUUAGUGCUCGGAGGGAUAAGGAUGUGUGGUAUUGGUUGGCAGAUCCUCAUGGUUUAUAUACAGUCCGCAGCUAUUAUAAAUUACUUAAUCAUUGUGCUACUACCCCAACAUCUGGUGUGUGGAGGAAAAUAUGGAACUUGGAGGUGCCUAAUAAGGUGAAGAAUUUUCUUUGGAGGGCUACUAUGAAUGUGCUACCAACAAACGAUAAUCUUAUUUGGAGAAGCGUUGAGGUAAUGCCUAUUUGCUCCCUCUGCAAUCAGCAGAAUGAAUCUGUUGUGCAUGCUUUGGUGAAUUGUGUCUUUGCUCAAAUAUGCUGGAUUUCUUCUUCACUUGGCUUUGCUGGUCAUCACUCUUCAUUUUUUAGUUGGCUAGAUCAAGUCUUUGCCCGCUGUAGUAAGGAGAUGUGCAAUCUUGUUGCUAUGAUAUGUUGGAAAAUCUGGUUUCGCAAGAAUGGAAAAGUUUGGAAUAACAAAGUUUGCAGUGUGCACUAUAUCCUUAACUCUGCUGGGACUUAUAUGUUUCAAUGGCAAACAGCAAGGAAACAAUCUGUUUUCAUUGAUGUUGAUUCUUUCCAUGGUUGUCAUGGGGCUGUUUGCUAGGAGAAACCACAUCCUGGUUGGCUCAAGUGUAAUGUUGAUGCUGCAACAUUCUCAGCUCAGGGGAAAGUCAACUAUGGAGGAGUUAUCCGCCAUUCUGAGGGGGUUUUUGUGGAUGCUUGUUGUGCCUGCGUGAGUGGAAGCUUUGGUGCAAGAGAUGCUGAAGCGUUUGGUGUGCGGGAGAUUCUAAGCUGGAUUAAGCAACGACAUUUGUCUUGCGUUGUUGUUGAGAUGGAUUGUUUUCAAGUCUUUAAAGCUCUCACAGAGAACUAUUCUUGUCCUAAUGGUUAUGACCUAAUUCUUGAUGAUUGUAGAGCUUUAGCUCGUUCUUUAGGAGAUAUUAAAUUCUCUUUUGUCCGAAGGUCUGCGAAUACUGCUGCCCAUGUUGUUGCACGGGUGGGGGGUUCUUUGUCAGGCCCUGGAGAGUGGAGUAAUGUUCCAUCUUCCUGGUUAAUUGUUUAUCUGUCUUCUGUUUCCAGUUAAUACAUCUAUCAAGUUUUAUUAAAAAAAAAAACAUAUUUCCGCCUUGGCCGUACAGCAGGAUAAUUAAAAUAAAUAUUUUAUAUUAUUAUUCUUAUUUUUAUCUCAAUAUAAUUGGUAAUAAUAAUAAUCUCUUUAAAGUUAAUGAUUUAAUUUCCUAAUUAAUAAUGACAAAUUUGAAUUUUUAUAAUAUAAAUGAAGAUAUUUAUGGAAUUGCCUGAAGUAUAAAAUUGAUUCUCAAAAUAAGAUUUUGAAAAGUCACUCCUCACCUUUUUAAAAAUUUACUAUAGAAUAAAGUGAUUUUACCAAAUUUCUAAAACAAUUUGUGAAACACUAAAAUUAGUUUUUAACUUUUCAAAAUUACUUAUAAACCUUCCAAAAAUAAUUUGUUAAAUGGGCCCUAAGAAAUAAGAUCCAAGAGUGAUAACAAAUAACUAAACCCCCAUUAACUUACACUUGACAUAUAUAACUUUCAUAAUAAUAGUAGUUGAAGACCAUAAUACCAUAAUAUCAAAUGAAACUUAAAUCUAAACAAGUUAUAAUACCGUAAUAUCAAAUGGAACUUAAUUUAAACAAUUUAACUCAUAUAGCAAUGAUGUAACUGUAGUAUGAAAUUUAAUCUAACUAAAAAAUAUAAAAAUUUUAAAUUUACUCUUUUGUGUAGAUAAUUCAUAUAAAUCAUUUUAAAAAAUGAAGAACAUCAAAGGCAAAGCGAGAUUUAAGAAGAUAGUAGGUAUUGAACCUUGAAUGUGACCAUGAGAGAUAGUGAGAAAAUUAUUGGCCUUAACCAAUUAAAUUAAAUUGGUUUAAAAAGGAAGGGAAAAAAAGAAGAAGCAUAGCCAAUCUAAUUGGGUUUAGGAUACUAAAAUUGAAAUUGAAUCAAUUUUGAUUCGACCCACUUGGUUGACGACUAAACUAGAUUUGAUUUGAGGGUCCGGCUAUAUUGCAACUGUGGUACCGUGCCACAGUUGCAACCAGCCAUUGUAUCCACUUGGAUGAGGGGUGCAACAGUGGAUCCAAGUGGAUCCAAUGACUGGUUGCAACUGUGGCAGGGUACCACAGUUGUAACAUAACCAAGUCCUUGAUUUGAACACCCGUACAUGUCCAACAAUGAAUUUGAACUUAUAAAAGAUUUAAUGUGUCCUUUAAUUUAAAAUUGAUUUGCUUUAGUUUUAUUGAUUUAAAAAAGGGGGAAAAUUCCAACAAUCAACCUUUUAAAAAUUUACAAUAUUAAAGUUCCUAAAAAGGUGCAUUUGUGUGACAACGGAUUAAUCGGUAUGAAAAUUAGUUUCAUAAACUAUGAUCAAAAUUAUUAGACUCGUUAUCAUUAUUUUUGGUCAAAUUCAAGGUUAAUUUUGAUAAUUAUUUAAAACUUAAAUAAAAAAUCACGUAACCAUGAUUGAAGUUGGGAAAUUCUAUUGAUUUUACAAAAUAUAUAUAUCUCAAUUAAACCAAAAUUUUUUCAUUAUUUCAAUUAAAAUUCAGUCAAAUUUUACGUUCUCACAAUUAUAUAAAUUUAAGAAAAGUUGAAAUUUCUUUCCCAACCUCUUAGUUUGUCGUUCAAUUUAAAAUAGAAAUAUAAUCACAUUAAAUUGAUUUAACAAUAAGUUACUUAAUAAAUAUUUAUUUAGUCCCUAUAUUUUGAUUUAAUCACCUGUUUAGUAUCUAUAUUUAAAAAGUACCUCAAAAUACCUUUUUAGUUAAAUAUGUUACAUUCUUACCAUUGUUUUUCUUUACUUUUACAAUAAUACUACUAGAAUAAUAUUCUUGACACUAAUUAAUUUAUUUAUAAAAAUUUAAUUAAUGAAUUAACCAUUAUUAAUAUGGAAGAACUAGUAUUUUUUGAACCCAUGCAAUAGUCUUGUUAAUAAUUUAUGUAUAAAUAAAUUAACAUCAGCCAAAUUAAAGUAAUAUUUAAUAUCCUUACAAUAAUUUUACUAUUAGGUAUUUAUAAAAUAUUAAUUUACCAAAUUACACCUAAAAGUAAAAUAAUAACAUAAAAUUUAUGAAAUAUUUUAUUUUAUUUUUAAGGCUAAUUUGAUAAAUUAGUAUUUUUUUAAUAAUAUCCCCAAGAAAGUAUGAAUAUUAUUGUAGGGGUAUUAUUAUAAAAGAAAAGAAAAACAAGGGUAUGAGUGUAACAUAUUUAAUAAUAAAAAGUAUUUUAAAAUAUGUUUUAUAAUAUAGGAAUUAAAUGAGCAUCUAACUCAAAAAGUAUGAUGAUUAAACAAACAUUUAUCAUAAUUAUUUUUAUAGAAAAAUAUCAGUAAAAUAAAAAAAAAAUUAAUUAAACAUGAUUUUUGGUAAUUAGGCGAGAGAUAUGCUCCAAAAUUUAGCAACAAAACAAAAAGUAUAUGUCGUGCAUGAGCGUGGAUUGUAAUGGAUGAGGAUGCAUGGGUU
rnacentral:lncRNA from 1 species